rnacentral:tRNA from 1 species
GCGCUGCUAGCUCAAUGGUAGAGCAGUUCCCUCUUAAGGAAAAGGUUGCAGGUUCAAGUCCUGCGCAGCGCACCA